CGGAUGCAACUCGAUUAUCUCUAAAGACGCGACGCACGAAAGCCUUCAGCAGCGUUUCACAACCGUGACAUGUUGACACUUUAUUUCCCCACAUUUCCUGAGAGCUAUAGCUUUGCAGCUAUCUUCCUCGUUUUGACUUCCUCUUUGCAGCGUGAGGCUCGAUGGUCAAAGGAAUUGUCUUGCGCACGGAGUCAUCACUGCGAACUCCUGCGAGGGGAAGAGGAGCGUCGCAGUCUCACCCCGGCGCUGCUGCAGCGUCGAGAGAUCCCACCACGCAGAUUUGGGUCAUUCACUUGGUGCCAGGUGUAAUACAGCUGAGAUGGAAAGGAUCCUCUGAACAAGCAGAACUUCUCUAUAAAAGCAGGGUCCAUAUUCAACUGUAAUUCUGAAAGGAACGUUCAGUCCUGCUGUCUUCACCCCAAUAUUCCUCCACCUGAAAUGGAAUAUAGCACCUAUUACAAGGCUCUCUCUAAUAGGUCCAACACUCUGAAUCAGGUGGCCAGUAAGGAGGUGCUUGUUUCCAGUAUUGUCCUCGAGGCUUUAGGAGAUUGACAACCACGUUGUUUGUCACUAUCGACGUUAAGCAGGAAGCGAACACGUGGACGGUUUCUUUGCAACCAUUCCAGGAAGCUGCUUCAAGUGCCUGAAGUCCCAUCGAAAGGAUGUCGCUGUAUUCACGUCGCUCCAGAGGACUUUGUCCAGUCUCACUUUCUCGAAGUCAACCUCCUUCAAUCCUGUGGUGAUACACACACCCUUGUGUAGCCUCUCUUCAGGAAGGCUGCAGAUUGCUCAUCACCAGGGGAGGUUAGCGGACAGUGGAUGCUACUGUAAAAAUCACAAAGGGUCUGAAGAGGAGGCCGUGGAUCCUGGAUGGAGUCGAAUCCAUUUCAAUCAAUGUCACCAAUUAAUAAUAAGACAAUUAGCAAGUGAUAUAAUACCAAAUUCCUCUCUCCCGCUGAAUAACUUUAACCUCGAACCCGGCCCCACUCCUGCUGCUGAAGCUGCCAGAGGAGCUGUUGAAAGAGUUUUUUUUUUAAUGCGAGCCGGCGUUCAGUCUACCAGUCUGGUUUAGAUCAGCCUGUCCAACAUGGAGAGGAACAGAAUGCGCACACAGACGGACCUGCAGAAGAUCACAGCAGAAACACGCUUACCCGCUUACUCCUUAUUUGACCGAGCACAGUGUCAUUGUGUUUCAACCACUUCCCUUUCUGCUUGACUGCCCUUCGUUUCUGGAUGUGGGAUUAUAAAAAAAAAAGGAUUAGUGUCAGGUAGUUUUAGCGUCCAGGACAACAGUAUUUGUUUGGAAUGUUAUGAAAAAAACGUAAAAGUAACAAUAGUGAAACAAAUUGUCCUGUAUAAGUACAUUGGGAGCAAAUCCUUCAACAUAUUCUGAUAUUUAACUGCCACAACGACAUAUUUUUGGGGUGUCUUCAAGGUUUUUUAUUAUUGCUGCAGAGAAUAAGCUGUCUGCGGCCGCAGGGGGGCAGAGGGGAGCGCUCAAUUUCCCUCGUGGGACAUCCCGGAAAAGAUCACAGAUGCAAUAUUUAGUGAGUCAAGGCCUGAGACAAAAGUUCAGAGCAAUGAAAUACAAACGUUUCCAUGCGCUUAUGUCAGGGGUUAUCUUUUGAAUCUGGCAUUAUUUAUCACAGGUAUUUAGUUUCCUUAAAAUCAAAAUGUCCCUGCAUUGUUAUGUGAACAGACGGAUGCGUGUUUAUGGCGCAGAUGCUGAAUGCUCAACUGGGUAGCGCAUUCCUAAUUUAAGAGAGACAUCUGGGGACUUUUCGGCAGUGACAAAAAUCCUCACGUCAACUAGAGACAUGUUUGUACCGCAGAGGAGUUGUG
ensembl:lncRNA